CAAAGUCAAGUCACGGGAGGGCAGACUACUGGAAGCACAAUAAUACUGAUAGUGCCGUAAAUCCAGAGCAGAGCUACAUUAAAGCGAUGACAUCCCCUGUGAAAGCGGGCUUUCACAGAUUUGAGAUUCAGAAAACAACUUGGGAUGUCCCCGACAGAUACACGUCUUUACAACCCAUUGGGUCGGGUGCCUACGGAACGGUGUGUUCUUCUAUUGACCAGAAGAACAAAGAAAAAGUGGCCAUAAAGAAGCUUUAUCGUCCAUUUGAAUCAUUGAUUUUUGCAAAAAGGGCUUACCGUGAAGUCAAACUGCUCAGGCAUAUCCAACAUGACAACGUGAUCUCCCUCUUGAAUAUCUUCACACCUGAUUCCACACUGGAGAAGUUCCAGACUUUUUACAUGGUAAUGCCCUUUGUGGCCCAGGACCUUGGUCACAUCAUGAAGAAAAAGAGACUGACAGACCGAAUUAUCGUCUAUCUAUUCUAUCAAAUACUACGAGGGCUAAAGUACAUCCAUUCUGCUGGAAUUAUCCAUCGGGAUCUCAAACCUGGGAACCUGGCUGUCGAUGAAAAUUGUGAAUUAAAGAUCCUGGAUUUUGGUUUGGCUCGCCAGACAGAGACUGAGAUGACCGGGUAUGUGGUGACCCGCUGGUACAGAGCUCCAGAGAUCAUCUUCAACUGGAUGCACUAUAGUCAAACAGUGGACGUGUGGUCUGCAGCAUGCAUUCUGGCUGAGAUGAUCACUGGCCAGGUGCUCUUUCCUGGCAGUGAUAGCAUCGAUCAGCUGAAGAAGAUCCUGAAAGUGACAGGAACCCCUCAGCCCUCCCUGAUCCAGAAGAUGCAGAGUGAAGAUGUACUCUUCCUUACUGUUCCGCACGCUCAUAUGUGCAGUCCCUACCCCUUCAAAAGAAGAAAGAUUUCAGGGAGGUCUUCUCCUCCAUGGAUUCUAAAGCGGUGGACAUGCUGGAGGCCAUGUUGCUGUUGGACCCUGAGACCAGGAUGACUGCAGCAGAGGGCCUCUCCCACCCUUACCUAUCUGAGUUCCAUGACCCAGAGACCGAGCCAGAUUCCCCCCUUUAUGAUGACUCUUUUGAGAGCCUGGAGUUGGACACAAGCGAGUGGAAGAGUCUUAUCCACAUGGACAUAAUGACCUUUGACCCCAACAACCCCAGGGAGACUGCAACAUAGCACCACAGUACGGCUGCACUUUUUACUGUAAUAGGUUACGUCUAUUUUUUUUUCAGGAUGAGUUUAAGGAAGACAGUACAGUUUCUAGAUUAUGCCAAUCUAUUCCUGUCAUGUUUUCUAUCUGACCUUUUGAGAUGCUGUAACACAUUAUACCUAGAAGCAUUACACACAUGGUCCUUGAGUCCAUCUGUUUGAAACCACAUGACAAACUGAUGUGAUAGUGACAUAUGAAACAUUCAAUAUAGUCAUACAGUAUUUUUUUAUUUAAAGCUAUAAUUGUCUCUUUCUCAGACCAAAAGACCAGCAAGAUAUUGAAUAGAUGUAAGAUAUAUAAAACAUAUGGCUAUCAUGUGUUUGAAGUGACUUUACUUGCCAGCCACAAUGUAGAGAGAAUAUGUUACAAGUGUGUCAUUGUCAUGUGUCAUUUAUUUGUUGCAACCACAAGAUGUCACUGUUUUCUAUAGGCAGUGAAGUUAUGUAAAGAAAGGACAGGGGAGCCUAGCAUGAUACAGUAUAGCUUGUCAAUUGUGAUCCAUCAAUGAUAAAGCAUCUACACUGAACAAUGUGGAAUAAUCUGAAAUUAAAUGGUUUGAAUAUAAA